rnacentral:tRNA from 1 species
AGGAAUGGUCGGGAUAGCUCAGCUGGUAAAGCCAAAGGACUGAAAAUUCUCGUGUCACCAGUUCAAAU